GCAUACACCUUCUGCUUCUCCAUCCUUAAAUUCUUCACGGGGGUUCUACUUUCGGAUUGUCCCGACAAUGGCGGCUUGAUGACUACGAACGCAAGUUCAAAAAGAUCGACCGCCAGCUUAUCCGACUUCAAGUGGAAGGUUGAAAAUCUUCUAGUGACUAUGAUUUCCACACUGCCCAACCUCUCUCUCAGCAUAUCCUGGAUGAACUAAUUUCGUCUCAAUUCAAGAUGCCACAGAUAGAGCCAUACGACAGCUCCACCGAUUCGAUCGAUCAUUUGGAGAGC
rnacentral:lncRNA from 1 species